rnacentral:lncRNA from 1 species
AUUCUCCCCAGAGGCCGAGAUGCGGGUCAUGGCGCCCCGAGCCCUCCUCCUGCUGCUCUCGGGAGGCCUGGCCCUGACCGAGACCUGGGCCUGCUCCCACUCCAUGAGGUAUUUCGACACCGCCGUGUCCCGGCCCGGCCGCGGAGAGCCCCGCUUCAUCUCAGUGGGCUACGUGGACGACACGCAGUUCGUGCGGUUCGACAGCGACGCCGCGAGUCCGAGAGGGGAGCCGCGGGCGCCGUGGGUGGAGCAGGAGGGGCCGGAGUAUUGGGACCGGGAGACACAGAACUACAAGCGCCAGGCACAGGCUGACCGAGUGAGCCUGCGGAACCUGCGCGGCUACUACAACCAGAGCGAGGACGGUGAGUGACCCCGGCCCGGGGCGCAGGUCACGACCCCUCCCCAUCCCCCACGGACGGCCCGGGUCGCCCCGAGUCUCCCCGUCUGAGAUCCACCCCAAGGUGGAUCUGCGGAACCCGCCCAGACCCUCGACCGGAGAGAGCCCCAGUCGCCUUUACCCGGUUUCAUUUUCGGUUUAGGCCAAAAUCCCCGCGGGUUGGUCGGGGCGGGGCGGGGCUCGGGGGACUGGGCUGACCGCGGGGGCGGGGCCAGGGUCUCACACCCUCCAGAGGAUGUAUGGCUGCGACCUGGGGCCCGACGGGCGCCUCCUCCGCGGGUAUGACCAGUCCGCCUACGACGGCAAGGAUUACAUCGCCCUGAACGAGGACCUGCGCUCCUGGACCGCCGCGGACACCGCGGCUCAGAUCACCCAGCGCAAGUUGGAGGCGGCCCGUGCGGCGGAGCAGCUGAGAGCCUACCUGGAGGGCACGUGCGUGGAGUGGCUCCGCAGAUACCUGGAGAA